UCUCGAUUCGUCUAGUGGUUAGGAUACCUGCUUGUCAUUAUCUAAUAACGAAUUCGCAGGUGGCCGGGGUUCAAUUCCCCGAUCGAGAG